rnacentral:rRNA from 1 species
GCCUGGCCCUAAAUCUUGAUGCUCGAUAUUACCUGAGCGUCCGCCCGAGAACUACGAGCACAAACGCUUAAAACUCUAAGGACUUGGCGGUGUUCCAAACCCACCUAGAGGAGCCUGUUCUGUAAUCGAUGAUCCACGAUAUUACCUGACCAUUCCUUGCACGAAACAGCCUAUAUACCGCCGUCGCCAGCCCACCUUUCCUGACAGCCCAACAGUGGACGCAAUAGCCUAACCCGCUAGCAAGACAGGUCAAGGUAUAGCCUAUGGAAUGGAAGCAAUGGGCUACAUUUUCUGAGAUACAACAUACGGAAAGGGGUAUGAAACUGCCCCUGGAAGGCGGAUUUAGCAGUAAAGAGGGAGAAUCGAGCCCUCUUAAAGCCGGCUCUGGAGCACGU